rnacentral:piRNA from 1 species
UGAUAGAAAAUGUCUUUCCCACCAAUUAA